rnacentral:lncRNA from 1 species
CAGGCUGAUAUUAAUGGGCUCCAGGACACUACUGGGUAGAAGCUUCAAGAUUCCAGAGGAGAACACCCCAUAUUGAUGAUGUGGCCUGAGUGCUUGAAAAUCCAGCUGGCUGGAGAGUUCUACCUGGCUCUGGGGAGAAGAUAGGCCAGAGGGAAGGGCACUUUACACUGCCUACUUAUUAAAAAAAAAUUCCCCUUAUCACCUGAUCCCUGAGAUACUCCAUGAGCAGCCAUGUUCCUGAUGAUGGCAAUGUGGUCAGUGUGGAUGCCGCCAAGAAGACGACAUGGGUAGACCUGCCAGCUGACUCAGAAGAGAGCAGGGGUCAAUCCACCUUGGGGCUGGGGAAAAAGCACUGGAGGAAGGUUCAGUCGGUGUGAGUUACGGCCUCAGUUCCGUGAGACGGCGCCGGUACUGGAAGGAACAGCAGGCUUGGACCCGAGAGAUCUUGUCUACAAAUACGUCUUUUUACAACACAUCAUUUAACUUUUCUUGCCUCCAGUUUAUUAAGGUGGGUACCUCCAGUGUCUCUCACUACCUGGUUCCACUUGUUGACCAUGUGACUUCUCUGGGUGGCAGUUUCCUUAUCAGAGAAGCGGAGCUAAUGGCACGCACCUUGCCAAUUUCAUCGGAGGGUGAGGAUCAAUGAACAAAUCAGAAGUGAGUUCACCAUCAAGCUCCUGAAGAUUGAACAUCAG